rnacentral:rRNA from 1 species
CCUACGGGAGGCUGCAGUGGGGAAUAUUGGACAAUGGGCGAAAGCCUGAUCCAGUCAUGCCGCGUGUGUGAAGAAGGCCUUCGGGUUGUAAAGCACUUUCAGUGGGGAAGAAAGCCUUGGGGCUAAUACCCUCGAGGAAGGACAUCACCCACAGAAGAAGCACCGGCUAACUCCGUGCCAGCAGCCGCGGUAAUACGGAGGGUGCGAGCGUUAAUCGGAAUUACUGGGCGUAAAGCGCGCGUAGGCGGUCUGAUAAGCCGGUUGUGAAAGCCCCGGGCUCAACCUGGGAACGGCAUCCGGAACUGUCAGGCUAGAGUGCAGGAGAGGAAGGUAGAAUUCCCGGUGUAGCGGUGAAAUGCGUAGAGAUCGGGAGGAAUACCAGUGGCGAAGGCGGCCUUCUGGACUGACACUGACGCUGAGGUGCGAAAGCGUGGGUAGCAAACAGGAUUAGAUACCCUAGUAGUC